rnacentral:rRNA from 1 species
GACGAACGCUGGCGGCGUGCUUUAGGCAUGCAAGUCGAACGCGAAAGCCCCUUCGGGGGUGAGUAGAGUGGCGAACGGGUGAGUAACACGUGGGUAACCUGCCCCUCGCAGGGGGAUAACCGGGGGAAACCCCGGCUAAUACCCCGUACGCUUGCUGGGGCGCAUGCUCCGGCAAGGAAAGGUAGCUUCGGCCAUCCGGCGAGGGAGGGGCCCGCGGCCCAUUAGCUAGUUGGUGGGGUAACGGCCCACCAAGGCGACGAUGGGUAGCUGGCCUGAGAGGGUGGUCAGCCACACUGGGGCUGAGACACGGCCCAGACUCCUACGGGAGGCAGCAGCCAGGAAUCUUGCGCAAUGGGCGAAAGCCUGACGCAGCAACGCCGCGUGGGCGAUGAAGGCCUUCGGGUCGUAAAGCCCUGUUGUCGGGGACGAAGGGCGAAGGGUUAAUAGCCCCUAGCCUGACGGUACCCGACGAGGAAGCCCCGGCUAACUACGUG